CCGUGCCAGCAGCCGCGGUAAUACGGAGGAUGCAAGCGUUAUCCGGAUUCAUUGGGUUUAAAGGGUGCGUAGGCGGAUUGGUAAGUCAGUGGUGAAAUCCUCUCGCUUAACGGGAGAAUUGCCGUUGAUACUAUCAAUCUUGAGUACACUUGAAGUGGGCGGAAUGUGUCAUGUAGCGGUGAAAUGCAUAGAUAUGACACAGAACACCGAUUGCGAAGGCAGCUCACUAAAUUGUAACUGACGCUGAGGCACGAAAGCGUGGGGAGCAAACAGGAUUAGAUACCCUGGUAGUCCACGCUGUAAACGAUGAUCACUAGCUGUUGGCGAUACACUGUCAGCGGCUGAGCGAAAGUAUUAAGUGAUCCACCUGGGGAGUACGAUCGCAAGGUUGAAACUCAAAGGAAUUGACGGGGGCCCGCACAAGCGGAGGAGCAUGUGGUUUAAUUCGAUGAUACGCGAGGAACCUCACCUAGGCUUAAAUGCUUUUUGACCGUCCUGGAAACAGGAUUUCCCUUCGGGGCAAAUUGCAAGGUGCUGCAUGGUUGUCGUCAGCUCGUGCCGUGAGGUGUCGGGUUAAGUCCCAUAACGAGCGCAACCCCUAUUCUUAGUUGCCAUCAGGUAAUGCUGGGAACUCUAAGGAAACUGCCUACGCAAGUAGUGAGGAAGGUGGGGAUGACGUCAAAUCAGCACGGCCCUUACGCCUAGGGCUACACACGUGCUACAAUGGCCAGCAUAGUGGGUUGCUACCUGGUAACAGGACGCUAAUCUCUAAAUCUGGUCUCAGUUCGGAUUGAAGUCUGCAACUCGACUUCAUGAAGUUG
rnacentral:rRNA from 1 species